GAGUGGAAUUUAGCAUAUUUUUGUAAAUGUAAAUUUGUAUAUAUUGAUUAGAUAUAUUGGAAUAAAAUGAUUGUCAUACUAUUGAUAUUAUUAGUUACAAAUUGAAUGGUAUUUAAUUUGUCUAGUCUGAUUACUGUUAAACUGACCAGUGUACCUGUUUGUCUAUGUUACCUUGAUUUCUAUAUUUAGAAUCUUAAUUAAGGCUAUAUUUCUUAUGGAUAGUGAUUUUGGUCACAUGUUCUUUUUGGAGGGAAAAUUCUAUUGUUCUGGACACUCUUAUUUCAACUGUCAUAGUGAGAAGAUAGAUUUCACAAUUUUGGAGUGUGCAAAUGGUCUUAUAUGAAUUAUUGUAUAGUUAUUGCUGAAUCUUUUGGGAAUUCAUAUUACUACUUUACAGGUUAAUAUUUGAUGUACAUGUAGCCAAUACACAUAUGAAGUCUUGUGACCUUCAAACUAGCACUUGAGGGUCUUUAUACGAGACAACCGUUUACUAAGACCUUUAAUAAAGAAUCCAUAAUACUACAACCGAGUCUUUAUGAUGCCCAUUUCCACCCGGUUUCAAUGGCGCCCAACGUGAUUUAGAGCUCUUAGUGACAACGACAUAAAAAGACAUUCCCGGGAUCAGCAUACCGUUUCUAGGAUUUACCGAAUUUACCAACUUCCGGAAAUCGAACAAGACGGCGGAAUAUAUGAACUUUGCAGAUUUAUUGAUAGUUUACAACCUUUUUGUGUCUUCAAAAGGUUAAUAUUUGAUGUACAUGUAGCCAAUACACAUAUGAAGUCUUGUGACCUUCAAACUAGCACUUGAGGGUCUUUAUACGAGACAACCGUUUACUAAGACCUUUAAUAAAGAAUCCAUAAUACUACAACCGAGUCUUUAUGAUGCCCAUUUCCACCCGGUUUCAUAA